UAGGGAAUCUUCCACAAAUGGACGAAAGUCUGAUGGAGCAACGCCGCGCGAGUGAAGAAGGGUUUCGGCUCGUAAAACUCUGUUGUUAAAGAAGAACAUAUCUGAGAGUAACUGUUCAGGUAUUGACGGUAUUUAACCAGAAAGCCACGGCUAACUACGUGCCAG
rnacentral:rRNA from 1 species